AGAUCAUCUGAGGGAUCUGACUGAAUCAAGAUGCUGCUGAUCAUUGAAGCUCUUCUUCUCAUUUCAGCUGCUCUAGGAAAGGAUCACAGAGCUGCUGUUAAAGGGAAGAUAUUUCCACUGGAUAUGGCGCUGGAUUCAGUUGAUGAUCAAUAUGACGGAUGCAUCGGGAAAUGAAACAACUGGUCGAAAAUAAAUAUCUGAAGAAGGAACUUAAUAACUCUAGAAAUAAUUUUAAAAUAGCUUGGCAAGAGGGUGAAAAAAAACAGUAAGAAGCCAGAAAAUAACUUGACCCAAAACCAUUCAAUUGCCAUUUAUGUGUAUACUGGUGAUAAAGUUUUUCGUGAUUUCAACAAUGAAACUCGUAACGGUAAACAAAACUACACAACCGAGCAAUACAGUUGGUAUUCACUUCACUUUCUGUUAACAGAAGCGGUACAGAUUCUGAACCAAACACAAAAUACAUGCUAUGAUACUUAUCGUCGUACCAAAGUUGAAUUUGAUAAGGAUGUUCUGAACAAAGAGGUUCGUUUUGGCUCAUUUACUUCUUCCUCUAUUGAUCGUGACAAAGGAGCAAAGACUUUUGGAACUGUCUCUUGUUUUGAGAUCCAAACUUGUGAAGGUGCUGAGGUGACAAACUAUUCAAAGCUUUCUCGUGAGAGAGAGGUGCUGAUUCCUCCGUAUGAGACAUUUAAUGUCACUUCUAUUAGGAAAAAAGGAGAUGAGAAAGAUCUCUGGUGUGACACUGUGUACACUUUGAAAAACACUGGAAAAACAAGUAACCUGAACUAUGCUUUAUUCAGGAGACCAAACAAGACCAAAGAUAAGUACCAUGUUUUGCACUAGGCCUAACAAUGUGCUUUGAAUUCACAUCAGUUCCACAAAAAGCAAUAUGAUAAACAUCAACAUGUAAGCAUGUUUUAUUUCUUCAAUGUAGUGCUGUGAUUCUUUGUCAGAAUAUAUCUAUAAUAUAUUUUCAGCAUAAUGAAAUAAAGUUAUUUUUAAGUGAUUCAAGAGGCCUCAGAUUAGUUUUUCAUAUUUCUUUUUUUUACACAUCUUUUUCAAUCACAUUUAGUGAACAAUUUAAUCAGGAUGUGCAAUGUAGUCAAUACUCUUAAGGCAGUGCAGCAUAAAUUGGCCAAUAUCAAAUAUUAAAAAUAAUUUACAAUAUUUAAAGUUAAAAGUAUUUUUAAUCUACUGUAUUCUUUGACUUUUGUUAAAUGAAUAGUUUGUUAAAGAGGUGGUGAUAUUGUUGAAUGGCUGUGUACUGUAGCAUCUGGACCCAUCAGAGACACAUUUUCUUUUGUUAUAUUUAACAAAUACUUGGUAACAUCCCUCAUUUUGUCACGAUCAUCAGCUGGAGUGCCCAUGAACUCCUAUAGAGGGCACUCCAUUCAGGACUCUGGCAUCUUGUAUUUCCAUUCCCAACUCCAUUUCCCAUAAUCCUGUGCUUAGGUGUUCCCCAUUACCACUCCCCUAUAUAAACUGUGUUUGGACUCUCAAUCACUGCAAAGUCUUGUUUAGUUCUGUCUGGCAUUUCUUAGCGGUUUCCUAGUGUUUGUUCUAUCCUUCUGUGUUUGAUUUUGGAUUGUGUAUAGUGACUUUGAUUCUGUGCUGCCUGCCCCGAUCUCUGUCUGGUAUUGUUACUGAUUCUGGAUAUCCCUUGACACAUUUGAUGCUGUUCCUGAUUUCUGCCUGUCUGAGCAUUCUCUAAUAAACUACUGCAUAUGGAUCCGCACGUCUCUGAGUCCUUGUUACUUGUCAAGGGCAUCUAAGUCAUGGUAUUGAAGGUGGAGAGAGAACUGUAAA